rnacentral:rRNA from 1 species
CAGUAGCCCGGGAAUACGAAGGGUGCAAGCGUUAAUCGGAAUUACUGGGCGUAAAGCGCGCGUAGGUGGUUCAUUAAGUUGGAUGUGAAAGCCCUGGGCUCAACCUGGGAACUGCAUCCAAAACUGGUGAGCUAGAGUACGGUAGAGGGUAGUGGAAUUUCCUGUGUAGCAGUGAAAUGCGUAGAUAUAGGAAGGAACACCAGUGGCGAAGGCGACUACCUGGACUGAUACUGACACUGAGGUGCGAAAGCGUGGGGAGCAAACAGGAUUAGAUACCCCGGUAGUCCCUGUCUCUUAUACA